GGUUUGGAGUGAUGGCGUUUGUCUGACCAAGUCACCGUGGGGUGUGAGGGGGCCCUGCUGUCCUGGAGAUGUGAAACACCUGCCUGCCCAUGGGAAACGUCUUCACUGGAACAGAGCAUCUCUCCAGGUCCCUGACCACAAGGGAAAUGUGGUAGGGGAUGCCCAGCUGUUGGAACCCAUGCUCUCAGCUCAACAGACUUCAUAAAGUAUCCUGGAGGCAGAGGUUUCUAAUUUCACAUGCCCACGCAGCAAGGAUUAAUCUAUGUCUGUAUGCCUCUGUGCUGGGAGAGCCGACAAAAAGACACUGGCAGCAAAAUCUGUGGUGACCAGACAGAGCAACAGCCUGGGAUAAGACAGCAUCCAGCCCCAAGGACUCUGGGAAAACAGGCCACAUUUUGUGUUGCUUGAUUGUCCAAGGAAAGAAAAGCACCGAAUAUUCAGGUGGCCACAAUUCCUGUGCACACAUCGGGGUGGAAGCAGACAUCAUUUGUUGGCAGACUGAAGAGAGAUCAGCACAAGGCCACGGAGAUGGCACGGAGCAAUCUGGUCAGGAUCACUUGGGAUGGCACAGUGGAUGAGGGACACCAGAUACCAAGUUUUUCAUUGAGUCUCCUGCAGCCCCUAUUGGGGUACCUCUUGGAAAUGUGUCUGGAAUUGUCUUUACACCACAAUAAAAGUUAAAAGAGGAAGUA